AGAACGCAGCUAACUGCGUGCAGACGUGUGAACUGCAGGACACAUGAACACCGACGUUUUGAACGCAUAUGGCGGCCUGAAAUAAAUUUCAGGCCAUGUCUGGCUGAGGGUCGGAUAUGAAAAUAAACCAAAGGAUGCCGUAUUGAGGCACUGUUCGCCUAUGUUCCAUCUCGUCACUUUUGUGUGAGUGGAGCUAGGUUAGUUGACGCAGCACAAGAGCAAGUGAGCUUUCCUGCCAAGUGCCAGUACAAGUACUGAGAUAAGUUAGUUCUCCAAGUCUUGUGAGUGCCAAGUGCGGAAAGAGACAAAAGCUUUGAGCUGCUAUGAACGCUUUAAGUUUCCUGUAAAGGAGACGAAAGGCAUAAACUCAUUGUUGCGACCUCAGAGCAGGCAAGAUUACCCGCUAAAUUUAAGC
rnacentral:misc_RNA from 1 species